rnacentral:lncRNA from 1 species
UCCGGCACGCCAUCUUCCUACGUUUGUUUCUUAUUAUUUACACAGUUCUGCAUCUGAACACCCUUUCCUGUACAAGGUAUGGACACGACUAAGUUUUAUUUAUCUAUAUAUACAAUAUGCAAUAUUUUGCUUUCCUCAGCGAAACCGAGCCCCAGUCCAUCAAGUGUUCGUUCAAUUUCGUAUUUCGUUCCUUUUCUCCCAAUUCGUCGUUAUUCAUUCCGUCUCUCUGUCUCUUGCUGAGAAAUGCAUCGACUCUUUUAAUCUCUUAUUUGUUUCAGUCGUUUGACUGCGACCACGCUGGAGCACCGCAUGUAGUCAAACUAAUGGACCCCAAGAUUUAUUCUUUACUAGCUUAGUUCUUAUUCCAUCAGUCUCUUUUGAUGUAAACACACAAGCUUAGGUUGGAGGUACAAACACAGACACACAAACAUAUAUAUAUAUAUAUAUAUACGACGGGUUUCUUUCAGUUUCCAGCUACCAAAUCCACUCACAAGGCUUUGGUCGGCCCGAAGCUAUAAUAGAACACACUUGCCCAAGGUGUCACGCAGUGGGACUGAACCCGGAAGCAUGUGGUUGGUAAAUAAGCUACUUACCACACAUCCAUCAUAUUUUUCUGUCAUUCUUGCCAUCCAAGGAUGGAACAGAGUCUUUCUCUUCCGAUCUCCUUUGAUUUCAAAUGGUUUAUAGAAUAACAAUUUUACUUUUAUUCUACAAAUGCAAAAACGACCACAAUAUUAGUAAUUCUAAGUGAGUGCGUUUUUUUUAAACUAGAGAAUACUGAUUCGAAAGUGAGUACAUUUGAAUAUGUUUUAAUUAGCCAAUAAUAAUAUAUCUUCUAAUCAAGGAGAUAUAACAGGAAAGACUUUAUCUGACGGCGAAUAUAGGGUUUUAGUAUUAUAAACAAGAGAACAGCCCCUCCCCUUUCACCAUUUUUCAUAUAUAAUUAAUCAUUGAAAGACAAGAGUGAUUUCCCUUGUAUAUCUCAGAUUGUGGAUUAAACCACAAAGACCCUGCUCCAUAUAAAUAAAGCUAUGUACUUUUUCACAGCAUACCUAAUGACGAACGUAAUACAAUAUCUUAGUACAGAACGAAUAUUGUGUAGUCUUCAUUAAAAAAUCCGGUACUAGUAUCGUAGAGUGGUCCCGGUUUGCGCAGACGCGCGUCCGCGCUAGCCAGACGUAGGCAGUCGAUCCUACGAGCUGACUGGCGCAUGCACGAUAUAUACUUGUAUCGAUAUAUACGUGUAUACGAUAUAUACUUGUAUAUAUACGAUAUAUACUUGUAUCGCGCGAAUCGGGGACGUGCGAUACAAGUAUAUAUCGUAUACACGUAUAUAUCGCAUAUAUCGUGCAUGCGCCAGUCAGCUCGUAGGAUCGACUGCCUACGUCUGGCUAGCGCGUGUGCGCAAACCGGGACCACUCUACGAUACUAGUACAAAAAAUCCUCAGUGGUCACGCUAUGGCUAAUAUGCAUAGAUGAAAUUACAUGCAUUGCAGUAUCUAGCGUCCAAUGAUAGCAUCGUGCUCCACUAUCUGCUUUGGUAUGGUUUCUACAAUUGGAUGCUCUUUCUUAACACCACAUAGGUUUGCUAUGCAGUUCACAAGACUACUAAGGGAAGUGAGGGCUUUAUGCUAGAGGAUGUAGAUGCAAAGUGUGAGAGCUGGAGGAAUGCAGGUUUUUGAAGUGGAGUUGCAUGGUUAAAACCAUAGAACAUGUUAUUGUUAAUGAGAUAAGCUUUUAAAAGAAAACGAAGGUCAUAGUCUUUGAAAAAUUCUUUGACAAAAAGAAUCUUUUCUAAAGGUUUCCAUUAUCCACAUGACCGUGAAUUUCACAGUGGUGUCCAUUUCCAUAGUAACAAGCAAAACUGUAGUCUGCCCCUGUUUUCAUUGUAACAAAGACGCGUUGUACUUAGCACGACUGUGACACGUUCAUCACCACAAGUUUUGAUGAGCGAUAUCAUUUUGUGCCUGGGCCAUUUCUGUCGAUUUCUAAUAGACAGCUAUCACACAGAAAAUGCAAGCUUCCUAUUCCUGUUUUCUGACUGGAAUAAAAAUGAUCAAACUUUGAAACUCUGUAACAUUUGUGUAAGUUUUUUUUUUUGUGAACAAACGAGUCCCAAAUUCGGAUUCAGUGUGAAAAAUUGCAUCCAUAUUUCAAAUUCGAAAAAUUUAAAUCGAUUUGAUAAUUUCCAAAUCUGUGGCAGUAGCUGAAAAAAUUUGGUAAAAGUAAUUGAUGCAGGGUCUGUUGUUCUUGAUUUAAUGAUAAGGGAUACUAUGAUACCUGCUGGUGUAGCAAGAGUAUUUGGUCCAUUAUCUCCUCCAUAUCUGUGGUAACACUCAACAAAUUAUGAUAGUGUGUAGCAUCACUAAAUAAAGUGAUUUCCUUUCUCUUUGAAUAAAUCAUUGGCCUCAGUCACAGAUUCUUGAGUUUUACAGAUGUAGUAAUGACUGAUUACAUCAGUGAGUGAUGUUGAUUACUCAUUUGGUUGACAUCACUCAUUUCAGUCAUCCUCAUACCAUUGUUUCUUUGUUCUGGGUGUAUAUAUAUCCUGUCUCUCUUAACAUUUGUUUUCAAUAUCGAUGGUUAAAAAUCUCUUCCUUAAGUGUCAGCAUUAUAUUGUUGCUUCUAUCAUAUUCUCUUUAUAUAUUUCAGGAUUUAUGAUGGCAUCGAGACUUUGAAGACUAAAGAAUGGCAUUACCAAAGAUACAGGGAAUCAUGUUUCACAAAAAUCACAUUGAAGAAACUGUACCCUAAUUUUGAAAAUAAAGAAGAAAAAGAGAAUUAUUUCUCUGUUG